GGUUAAGCGACUAAGCGUACACGGUGGAUGCCCUGGCAGUCAGAGGCGAUGAAGGACGUGCUAAUCUGCGAUAAGCGUCGGUAAGGUGAUAUGAACCGUUAUAACCGGCGAUUUCCGAAUGGGGAAACCCAGUGUGAUUCGUCACACUAUCAUUAACUGAAUCCAUAGGUUAAUGAGGCGAACCGGGGGAACUGAAACAUCUAAGUACCCCGAGGAAAAGAAAUCAACCGAGAUUCCCCCAGUAGCGGCGAGCGAACGGGGAGCAGCCCAGAGCCUGAAUCAGUGUGUGUGUUAGUGGAAGCGUCUGGAAAGGCGCGCGAUACAGGGUGACAGCCCCGUACACAAAAAUGCACAUACUGUGAGCUCGAUGAGUAGGGCGGGACACGUGGUAUCCUGUCUGAAUAUGGGGGGACCAUCCUCCAAGGCUAAAUACUCCUGACUGACCGAUAGUGAACCAGUACCGUGAGGGAAAGGCGAAAAGAACCCCGGCGAGGGGAGUGAAAAAGAACCUGAAACCGUGUACGUACAAGCAGUGGGAGCCUCUUUAUGGGGUGACUGCGUACCUUUUGUAUAAUGGGUCAGCGACUUAUAUUCUGUAGCAAGGUUAACCGAAUAGGGGAGCCGAAGGGAAACCGAGUCUUAACUGGGCGUUAAGUUGCAGGGUAUAGACCCGAAACCCGGUGAUCUAGCCAUGGGCAGGUUGAAGGUUGGGUAACACUAACUGGAGGACCGAACCGACUAAUGUUGAAAAAUUAGCGGAUGACUUGUGGCUGGGGGUGAAAGGCCAAUCAAACCGGGAGAUAGCUGGUUCUCCCCGAAAGCUAUUUAGGUAGCGCCUCGUGAAUUCAUCUCCGGGGGUAGAGCACUGUUUCGGCAAGGGGGUCAUCCCGACUUACCAACCCGAUGCAAACUGCGAAUACCGGAGAAUGUUAUCACGGGAGACACACGGCGGGUGCUAACGUCCGUCGUGAAGAGGGAAACAACCCAGACCGCCAGCUAAGGUCCCAAAGUCAUGGUUAAGUGGGAAACGAUGUGGGAAGGCCCAGACAGCCAGGAUGUUGGCUUAGAAGCAGCCAUCAUUUAAAGAAAGCGUAAUAGCUCACUGGUCGAGUCGGCCUGCGCGGAAGAUGUAACGGGGCUAAACCAUGCACCGAAGCUGCGGCAGCGACGCUUAUGCGUUGUUGGGUAGGGGAGCGUUCUGUAAGCCUGCGAAGGUGUACUGUGAGGUAUGCUGGAGGUAUCAGAAGUGCGAAUGCUGACAUAAGUAACGAUAAAGCGGGUGAAAAGCCCGCUCGCCGGAAGACCAAGGGUUCCUGUCCAACGUUAAUCGGGGCAGGGUGAGUCGACCCCUAAGGCGAGGCCGAAAGGCGUAGUCGAUGGGAAACAGGUUAAUAUUCCUGUACUUGGUGUUACUGCGAAGGGGGGACGGAGAAGGCUAUGUUGGCCGGGCGACGGUUGUCCCGGUUUAAGCGUGUAGGCUGGUUUUCCAGGUAAAUCCGGAAAAUCAAGGCUGA
rnacentral:rRNA from 1 species